UACGGAGGGUGCAAGCGUUGUUCGGAAUUAUUGGGCGUAAAGAGCUCGUAGGCGGCUUGUCGCGUCGGAUGUGAAAGCCCGGGGCUUAACUCCGGGUCUGCAUUCGAUACGGGCAGGCUAGAGUUCGGUAGGGGAGAUCGGAAUUCCUGGUGUAGCGGUGAAAUGCGCAGAUAUCAGGAGGAACACCGGUGGCGAAGGCGGAUCUCUGGGCCGAUACUGACGCUGAGGAGCGAAAAGCGUGGGGGAGCGAACAGG
rnacentral:rRNA from 1 species